GAAAAGGAGCUUGGCUUGUCUGAUCCAGCUCAUGUAACAGGAGCCUUGGCUUGUCUGAUCCAGCUCAUAGUAACAGCAGCCUUGGCUUGUCUGAUCCAGCUCAUAGUAACAGGAGCCUUGGCUUGUCUGAUCCAGCUCAUAGUAACAGAGCCUUGGCUUGUCUGAUCCAGAAAGCGCAUAGUAACAGA
rnacentral:lncRNA from 1 species